rnacentral:guide_RNA from 1 species
AUAAAAUUACACACAUAAGUAUGUAGCAUAUAAGGUGUUAAGGUAAAUU